ACAGAUGUGCAACUCCACCUCCUGUACCAGCAUUUAGUUUGGAUUUAGUCAGGAAACCUGUUACUCCUGACCCCUCUUGAGCAGAGCAGGUGCUAAAGUGCUUUAACAUGUCUAAUGAAUAGUUGUUAUACCUUGUGGUGCUGGGCUGUUUAGGCAUUAACUUUCCAGUGGAACUUCUAGGGGUAAGUGUAUGGAAAAUACGAUAAAGCAUCAGGACCAGUUCUAAAUGAACCAAGGUGACUCCCUAAAAGAAGUGGGAAAGUGAAAUACUUCCUGUGACGACCUUCAAGGUACCUGGAUGGAAGCCUGAGGCUGGAUUCACUUUAAGGGAACUGUGUUGUUUGGACUUCUGAGUAACCAGUAAGUGUGAAAUGUUCCAGAAUAUAAAUGUGCAAAAUCACCACCACAGAAGAGGUGCUGAAUAUUCCUUCUGGCAGAUUCUACCAUGAAUGCAGAUGGUUAUAGCCUCCAGUAGCACAAAUGUCCAAGCAGUCUCCCAGUGGAGUGGGUGUUAUAGUAAGCCAGUUCAAGAGUUCACAAAAGCAUGAGUUACUGUGGCAAGAGCUACAUCAUCUAAUGAGGUGCAGAUGGAAAAGGAGUUUCUAGCUACCAAGACAAACUGGAAAUCCAGGAACAAUUGAGGAGCUGGAAGCAUCUCCUAGGUUGUGGACUUCCUUGACAAAAUGGAGUCAUAUUCCUCAGCAAGACAGGCAAAUAUCUCAUCCUGAGGAUUCUCCUUUCAUACCAGUAUCACUGUCUCAUUGUUUGGAAUUUUCAGCCAAUUCACAAUCAUCCAAGCUGGGAACUCCGCAUCGAUUCAUUCUAGGCAACUUAAAGUCCCGUUCGUGCUGCUGGAGCAGCUCAAAAGAAAGUUAAUUUAGGCUGAGAAAUUGUCCUUUGUUUAUUUUUUCCAUACCUUUUCAAAAUUACUAGGAUAGAGUCCAGGUUACUCUCAAUUUUCCUGUUACACAGAACCACUUAAAGUGAUAAUCUUUUGCAUAUAUGACUGAAUUUAGGGAUGUGUCAUCUUUACAUUACCAAAUUCUUCAUUUUACAACCUGGCUCUUUGGUACAGUUUACUUCUGUGUAUCUGUAGCUGAUUUGUCAUUACAAUAAGGCAACUUCAGUGGCCAGAUUUACUAUGUAAUAAUUGGACUUUAGAGCAAUUGCAAAAAAAAUGCCUACUUGCAUUUUAUGUCAUGCCAUAUUCUGUA